rnacentral:lncRNA from 1 species
GUUGAGGAGGAAUUGGUGGAGAAAAUCAAAGAGGGAUCAUGGGAGAGUUUUUAGGAAGAAAUCAAGGAGUUUGAGAGUAAGGGGGAGUUAUGCCGUUUGGGGAUAUGCUUGUGCCGAAAUUGGUCUUUAGGCUUUGUGGGAAUUGAUUUUGGGGGUUUUUUGUCUUUCCGUCUGCUUUGAUUUGGUCAGGUUUUCUUUCACCUUUUGCUUGUGUUGAAUAUUGCUAAAGACUGUGGGUACCUUUCGGGUUUGCUUAUUUGUUUUCUUGCUUUUCCUUUUAUUCUUUUUGUUUUUGUUUUGACCGAAUAGUUCGUUAGUCCCCUCUGCCGAAUCCCUUCCUCCUCCCUUUUCUCUGGGUUGUCGAAUCUUCUCUUCUCUCUUCCCCUCUUCUCUUUACUGCUUCUCCCUCUACCCUACUUUUUCCCAGACCUUGCCGAAUUCUUGCUCCAUCUACACUCUAGAUACUUUUAAAGAGAGUAUUGGC